rnacentral:rRNA from 1 species
CCAGCCACACUGGAACUGAGACACGGUCCAGACUCCUACGGGAGGCAGCAGUGGGGAAUAUUGCACAAUGGGCGCAAGCCUGAUGCAGCCAUGCCGCGUGUAUGAAGAAGGCCUUCGGGUUGUAAAGUACUUUCAGCGGGGAGGAAGGGAGUAAAGUUAAUACC